GGCCGCGGGAAUUCGAUUCAGGCCUAACACAUGCAAGUCGAACGCUGAAACCAGAUGAUUGCAUUUGGUGGAUGAGUGGCGAACGGGUGAGUAACACGUGGGUGAUCUGCCCUGCACUUUGGGAUAAGCCUGGGAAACUGGGUCUAAUACCGAAUAUUCACACCACCGUAGGGGUGGUGUGGAAAGCUUUAUGCGGUGUGGGAUGAGCCUGCGGCCUAUCAGCUUGUUGGUGGGGUAAUGGCCUACCAAGGCGUCGACGGGUAGCCGGCCUGAGAGGGUGUACGGCCACAUUGGGACUGAGACACGGCCCAGACUCCUACGGGAGGCAGCAGUGGGGAAUAUUGCACAAUGGGAAGGAGCCUGAUGCAGCGACGCCGCGUGGGGGAUGACGUCAAUGGGGUUGUAAACUCCUUUCGCUAGGGACGAAGCCACUUGUGGUGAC
rnacentral:rRNA from 1 species